rnacentral:pre_miRNA from 1 species
AAGUCGUAGGUGAGAAUUGGAGGAAACUAAAUAGAUUAAUUGUUAUUGUCAUUAUUCUUAACAAAUUCUAUUUAGUUUCCUCCAAUGUCUUAUCUCCAACCU